CCUACGGGAGGCAGCAGUAGGGAAUUUUGCGCAAUGGGCGAAAGGCUGAACCAGCCAAGCCGCGUGAAGGACGAAGGUGCCAAGCAUUGUAAACUUCUUUUGUCAAGGGACAAAAUCAGGCUCGAGAGCCUGACCGAGGGUACUUGAAGAAAAAGCAUCGGCUAACUCCGUGCCAGCAGCCGCGGUAAUACGGAGGAUGCGAGCGUUAUCCGGAUUUAUUGGGUUUAAAGGGUGCGUAGGCGGACUGUUAAGUCAGCGGUAAAAGCCCGGGGCUCAACCCCGGCGAGCCGUUGAAACUGGCUGUCGUGAGAUGUCGAGAGGUAUGCGGAAUGCGCAGUGUAGCGGUGAAAUGCUUAGAUAUUGCGCAGAACUCCGAUUGCGAAGGCAGCAUACCGGCGGCGAUCUGACGCUGAGGCACGAAAGCGUGGGUAUCGAACAGGAUUUGAUACCCGAGUAGUC
rnacentral:rRNA from 1 species